AGUGAACGCUGGCGGUAGGCCUAACACAUGCAAGUCGAACGGCAGCACAGGAGAGCUUGCUCUCUGGGUGGCGAGUGGCGGACGGGUGAGGAAUACAUCGGAAUCUACCUUUUCGUGGGGGAUAACGUAGGGAAACUUACGCUAAUAUCGCAUACGACCUACGGGUGAAAGUGGGGGACCGCAAGGCCUCACGCGAUUAGAUGAGCCGAUGUCCGAUUAGCUAGUUGGCGGGGUAAUGGCCCACCAAGGCGACGAUCGGUAGCUGGUCUGAGAGGAUGAUCAGCCACACUGGAACUGAGACACGGUCCAGACUCCUACGGGAGGCAGCAGUGGGGAAUAUUGGACAAUGGGCGCAAGCCUGAUCCAGCCAUACCGCGUGGGUGAAGAAGGCCUUCGGGUUGUAAAGCCCUUUUGUUGGGAAAGAAAUCCUGUCGAUUAAUACUCGGUGGGGAUGACGGUACCCAAAGAAUAAGCACCGGCUAACUUCGUG
rnacentral:rRNA from 1 species